CCUACGGGAGACAGCAGUAGGGAAUAUUGCUCAAUGGGGGAAACCCUGAAGCAGCAACGCCGCGUGGGGGAUGAAGGUUUUCGGAUUGUAAACUCCUGUUGGUAGAGAAGAAAAUGACGGUAGCUAACGAAUAAGCAACGGAUAACACCGGGCCAGCAGCCGCGGUAAUACGGAGGGUGCAAGCGUUACUCGGCAUGACUGGGCGGACAGCGCGCGGAGGCGGGAUAGCAAGUCAGAUGUGAAAUCCGAUGGCUUAACCAUAGAACUGCCUUUGAAACUGUUAUUCUAGAGUAUGUGAGAGGUAGGUGGAAUUCUUGGUGUAGGGGUCAAAUCCGUA
rnacentral:rRNA from 1 species